rnacentral:rRNA from 1 species
AGAGUUUGAUCCUGGCUCAGGAUGAACUCUGGCGGCGUGCCUAACACAUGCAAGUCGAACGAAGCACCUUCCAAGAUUCUUCGGAUGAUUGACUGGUGACUGAGUGGCGGACGGGUGAGUAACGCGUGGGUAACCUGCCCUGUACAGGGGGAUAACAGCUGGAAACGGCUGCUAAUACCGCAUAAGCGCACGAGGAGACAUCUCUUCGUGUGAAAAACUCCGGUGGUACAGGAUGGGCCCGCGUCUGAUUAGCUGGUUGGCAGGGUAACGGCCUACCAAGGCGACGAUCAGUAGCCGGUCUGAGAGGAUGAACGGCCACAUUGGAACUGAGACACGGUCCAAACUCCUACGGGAGGCAGCAGUGGGGAAUAUUGCACAAUGGGGGAAACCCUGAUGCAGCAACGCCGCGUGAGUGAAGAAGUAUUUCGGUAUGUAAAGCUCUAUCAGCAGGGAAGAUAAUGACGGUACCUGACUAAGAAGCUCCGGCUAAAUACGUGCCAGCAGCCGCGGUAAUACGUAUGGAGCAAGCGUUAUCCGGAUUUACUGGGUGUAAAGGGUGCGUAGGUGGCAGUGCAAGUCAGAUGUGAAAGGCCGGGGCUCAACCCCGGAGCUGCAUUUGAAACUGCAUGGCUGGAGUACAGGAGAGGCAGGCGGAAUUCCUAGUGUAGCGGUGAAAUGCGUAGAUAUUAGGAGGAACACCAGUGGCGAAGGCGGCCUGCUGGACUGUUACUGACACUGAGGCACGAAAGCGUGGGGAGCAAACAGGAUUAGAUACCCUGGUAGUCCACGCCGUAAACGAUGAA